CCCCUCGCACGCACGAAAAAAAAACAGCAAAAAUAAUCCCGAGAGAAAGUCCAAUCGCGUCCCGCAAACCCUAGCCGCCGCUGGCCUCCCCCUACCCGUGCCGCAGACGCACACCAUCCUCUUCUCCUCCCUCCCGUCAGCGACCUGCCUCCACUCCGCGAGGCAGAUCGAUCGAGACCCAUGGCUGGGGUCGCUACCGUGCCUCGCCGUGCAGCGCAUCGGGUAUCCACCUCCCAUCCCCCAUCUUCCUCCUUCAAAUUUUGGCAGCAACGACCGUGAGUGUGGCUGCUCCUCGUCCGUGCUCCGGCAGACGUCCCCUACCCACCCCCCUCCGCUGACGGUGGCCAGAACGAGGUGGGUUCAACCGGGAGAGCCCCGGGUGAGAUCGCGUGCGAGUGGACGGAGCAGGCGCUCGUGGUCGAGGUGAACCAUGGGCGCAGUCGGAGCAGAGAGUCGGGGCGUAGGAGAUGAGGAGAACGGCGUAGGCUUCAUGAUGGAAGGAGAUACGGCGGCGGACAAGGAGGAGGUCGGGGGUUACACGGAGGUACAGGUGGAUGUCAGCAACCUGCCCCCUAUGACGUCGAUGGUACUUUGACGUUAGAAGGGAUACUUGCCCCUUUGGCGAAUGAUGUUUUUACAAGCAUGCCUACACCGAUGGGCAUUUGGAGGAGCCGGCAACGGUGGCAGUGCUUCAUUUUCAUGCCGACAAUGGAAGUAUGGACCAGCAAGAAAUAUCGAGUUGAAAAUUCCGUUCGAACAUGCAGAUUGGCAUACUUGCUCAGAAGGUUACAACUGUAGAAGGAAGCAGUUGAGAAGAGAAGCACUUAGGGGAUGAUGUCGAUCUUGCACAUUCAGCUU